GACGAACGCUGGCGGCGUGCUUAACACAUGCAAGUCGAACGCUGAACCCGCUUCGUUGGGGGAUGAUUGGCUAACGGGUGAGUAACACGUGGGCAACUUGCCCCCCCCUCUCGGAGAACUCCAAUAAAUUGGCGCUGAUACCGGAUGUGACCGCUCGCCGCCUGGUCUGGUGGUGGAAGGGGUUUGCGGCUGGGGAUGGUCGCGCGGCCUAUCAGCUUGUUGGUGGGGUAGUGGCUUACCAAGGCGACGACGGGUAGCCGGCCUGAGAGGGUGACCGGCCACACUGGGACUGAGAUACGGCCCAGACUCCUACGGGAGGCAGCAGUGGGGAAUAUUGCGCAAUGGGCGGAAGCCUGACGCAGCAACGCCGCGUGGGGGAUGACGGCCUUCGGGUUGUAAACCUCUUUCGCCAGGGACGAAGCGUGAGUGACGGUAAUUGGUAAAGAAGCACCGGCUAACUACGUG
rnacentral:rRNA from 1 species